rnacentral:rRNA from 1 species
GAUGAACGCUGGCGGCGUGCCUAAUACAUGCAAGUCGAGCGAACAGAUGAGGAGCUUGCUCCUCUGACGUUAGCGGCGGACGGGUGAGUAACACGUGGAUAACCUACCUAUAAGACUGGGAUAACUUCGGGAAACCGGAGCUAAUACCGGAUAAUAUAUUGAACCGCAUGGUUCAAUAGUGAAAGACGGUUUUGCUGUCACUUAUAGAUGGAUCCGCGCCGCAUUAGCUAGUUGGUAAGGUAACGGCUUACCAAGGCAACGAUGCGUAGCCGACCUGAGAGGGUGAUCGGCCACACUGGAACUGAGACACGGUCCAGACUCCUACGGGAGGCAGCAGUAGGGAAUCUUCCGCAAUGGGCGAAAGCUUGACGGAGCAACGCCGCGUGAGUGAUGAAGGUCUUCGGAUCGUAAAACUCUGUUAUUAGGGAAGAACAAAUGUGUAAGUAACUAUGCACGUCUUGACGGUACCUAAUCAGAAAGCCACGGCGAACUACGUG